GGCUCGCCAUCCAGCAGCAGCUGGCCCCCAGUGGGCUGGUACAGGUUCUGCAGCAGGGCGGCCACGGUGCUCUUCCCUGAUCCAUUGGGUCCCACCAACGCUGUCACCGUUCCAGGAUGCAGGGUGAACGUCAGACCCUAGGAAAACAGGGAAGAGUUCAGAGCAGCUUCCUAGAGAAAAUGAUGUUCAGGCUGCGGGAGCCCGACCUCCGCAGCAGAGAGAAAGGUUCCGAUCCCACGGGGUCUCCCUCAGACACCUGGAGCACAGGCUUCUCGGGGCGCCUGGGAUACGAAAAGGAGACGUCUUGGAAUUCCACGCGCCCCUCCAGCCAGGGAGGGGCCAGGAUCCCAGGCUGGGGCAGAUUCGGCUUUCGGUCCAGGAAGGAGAGCAGGCCACCCCGGGUGACCUCUCCAGCCAGAAUCUGCUGCACGCCGCAGUUCAGAAUCAGCACCUGCAUGCCCAAGGCCAUCACCUGGACAGGAGAGAGGUCUCGGCGCCACCACAGCUGUCUACAUCGCUCCAGGGCCUCCUUGUAGUGGCUGACUUCCUGCUCCUCGGCCCCAAAGCUUCGCACAGUCUGCAGCCCUCCUACCGCCUCGCGCACCACCUGCCCCGCCUUGGCCACUGCAUCCUGGAUCUCCUUUAGCACCGCCUGAAAACAGGGCAGCGGAUAAAACCGGUGAAUAAGGCAGAACACAACAGGCAGGGGCUUCCCUCCAGCAAUUCAUCACUGCCCCGUGCCUUUCUUUCCAGAAGGAAUAUUUUCGGAGGGGGAGGGGAGGGGAGGGGAGGGGAGAUGAGAUGCUGGGGAGAUGGCUCCAUGGGUAAAGUGCUUGUCCCAGUGUAUCACGCACACUCACAGAGCACAGGAAGUAGAAAACAUAUGUGAAUUGCUGAGCUCUCCCUGUUAAGCACUGUGGUGCUAUUCUGUUUAGCUUUCAUUUGAAGUGAAUUCUUGCAUGUGAUGUCAAAUGAGGAGAGAGACAGUAAUUCAGAAAGGUGGAGAUGUGGCUGUCAAAGUGGCUCAGCUGUUCAGAGAGCUUGUGUCUCUUCCAGAUGACCAGGGUAUAAUCCCCAGCACACAAACCAUGCCACACAAACACCUGUGACUGCAGCUCCAGAGAAUCAGGGGCUGUCGUCUGGCCUCUGCGGACACGGACACACACACACACACACAGAAAUGUGCAAAUAAAAUAAAUCCUUAUGUUUU
rnacentral:lncRNA from 1 species